AAUCAGUUCAGCACUAAGUCACUUUGUCUUUAUGGCAAAUGUGAGAUGCAGUGUAUGGAAUGUUCAAUUUCUAGUAUGAGAAAUUAACGAUUUAAGUCCUUCUUAAAUGAGGCCAUUUACCCAUAGAGGGUGCCAGGCCCGUAUAACGUUAAUGAUUACUAGAGAACAUUUCCAAAGAGUCGUGUUGCUUGAUAGUGCAGCACUAAGUGGGUGGUAAACUCCAUCUAAAACUAAAUAUAACCAUGAGACCGAUAGUAAACAAGUACCGUGAGGGAAAGUUGAAAAGAACUCUGAAUAGAGAGUUAAAUAGUACGUGAAACUGCUUAGAGGUUAAGCCCGAUGAACCUGAAUAUCCAUUAUGGAAAAUUCAUCAUUAAGAUUGUGAUAUGAAUAAUAUUAUGAUAAUGGUGUGCAUUUUUUCCAUAUAAGGACAUUGUAAUCUAUUAAUAUUAAAAUUAUUUAUCAUAAGAUCGAUGACUUAAGUUUAUUCAAAUUAUUUUGCUUGCAAUUUAACAUAGGAUAAGUGUUGUCGAUUUGAUAAAGUGUUGAUAGAUUUAUUAUAUAUAGUGCUUGAAUAUUUAUAUUCUAUAAUAGCAUGGUUAUCAUUGAUUUCUGUGUUUAUUAUAUGCACUUAUAUGAUUAACAAUGCGAAAGAUUCAGGAUACCUUCGGGACCCGUCUUGAAACACGGACCAAGGAGUCUAACAUAUUUGCAAGUUAUUGGGAAUUAAAAACCUAAUAGCGAAAUUAACAUAACUUAUAUAAUGGGAUUAGUUUUUAGUCUAUUUAUAGUCUAUUAAUUCAAUCCCGGGGCGUUCUAUCAGUUAUGUAUUUUAAUAUUUAUAUUAUUUAUUCCUCUAACUAGAGCGUACCUUGAGCAUAUAUGCUGUGACCCGAAAGAUGGUGAACUAUACUUGAUCAGGUUGAAGUCAGGGGAAACCCUG
rnacentral:rRNA from 1 species